GAAUCCAUGGCCCAAUAGAUAAAGUGCUGGUUUACUAAACCAGAGGUUCUGGGUUCGAUCCCUAGUGGAGUCG
rfam:Ipomoea nil DNA, scaffold: scaffold0114, cultivar: Tokyo-kokei standard.